CAAAUGAGAGGCAGGAUAUUAAUCUAAGUUUUGGGGUACUUAUUAUUGUGACUAUGCACUAGAAGAUAAUGUUGAAACAAUUCUGUAAAAAAAGGAGGAGAUAGCUAGUAUGAUUAAGAAGAAUGUUUUUCCAAUAAAGUCAGGCUCCUGCUUAUGGUUUCAGUGUACUUGAGUUUGGUAUCCCUUGAUAGUUUAUACUGUAGAGGUCAUAUUGUUGUACAUCUGGCAUUGUGUCUUUUAGGGAAAUUCUGUCUCCGGAACACCAGGUGGACUUUCAACACAUGAUACAUCCCUUUGGAGCAAAUUAACUGGGAGUAGAAAGAUGUGGGUAUAUAUUUUCUUGGUACUAAGUGAUUAGUGAAAAUAGACAUAGUGAUGAUUAUAAAUGAAAACUUAAGAAAAAUAAACAGCUGUUCUCUAUUCAGAUGUGGUAAACAUAUUUAUUCCAAAAAGAAAAAAAAAGACACAAUUUUUAUAACUAAGGAAAUGCUUAAUAAAUGGGUCAAUAAAAUUCUGACUUUUUUUUUUUAAUUUUUUUUAUUUGUUUAUGACAGUCACAGAGAGAAAGAGAGGCAGAGACACAGGCAGAGGGAGAAGCAGGCUCCAUGCACCGGGAGCCCGACGUGGGAUUCGAUCCCGGGUCUCCAGGAUCGCGCCCUGGGCCAAAGGCAGGCGCCAAACCGCUGCGCCACCCAGGGAUCCCAAAAUUCUGACUUUUAAAGUUGUCCAAACAAAUAACUACAACAUUCAAAUUCCAAUACAGAUGUUUGCACCAGGUGUGUGUCACUUCACGUACAGCAUUUAUGACUCAGAAACAGCUCUAUUUCAAGUCCGUGUUUGAUAGCUUAUGUCAGAAAACUAUAUUGGGCAAACGUCAUGGUAAUGAAAAUCUCAGAGGAGAGGAGACUUUGGAGCAGGACAACUUGGCCUUGAAUCUUGGUUAUAAUACCAGCUAUUUGGCAUAAGUCCCUAGUUUCUACACGUGUAAAAUGUGAGUAAUGAUGAUAAUAGCACCUACCUCACAGGAUGUUUUUAAGAUUAAGUGAGAUAACAGAUGAAAAGCACCCAGCAUAUUACUUGAGCGAAACACACUAAAUCUUGAAGAGCCAGUAGAUAUUGCUGUGAUUCUUUCUAGAUCAGUAAACUUCAUGAAGGAGGUGGGGAUGGUGGUAGAGCAGCCAUCUAUUAUAUUUCCAACCCAACCAGCUGCCUCACCAUUAUGUGCUGUGGGCCAGAAGAGCAAAGAGAUUACAG
rnacentral:lncRNA from 1 species